AAAAAAAAAAAAAAAAAAAAAAGACUUUCACUGACCUGGCCCCACGGAUCAUGCCCACCCGUAUCUGGCUCAAGAGUUCUUCAUAAAUUUCUGACUUAAGUGAAGCCAAGGUUUCUGACACAAACCCAGUGAUCCAAAUUUUAGAUGUAUGGCUGUGAACUUGCUUGAAAGCUCUUACAUUGUUCUUCACUGAUAUGUAAUAUCGACCCCUUUGAGACUCAACCCUUUUGUCAAAGAUGAUGAGACAUGAUGCCCAUUUAUUAACAAGGACAGAGAAGACAGUUUCCUGCUAAUUCUCACAGAGAAAAAGCAGAACAUAGCUUGGAUGAACAGUUUCAGCAAAAACCAAGAAGAGAGAUGCCCAGAGAUCCUACCCUGAACUCCAUAACUCAGAGAUCUACUGGCCUUUAUUGUCAGAGCUGGGAUUAAAGAGCACCUCAGUUCUGUGUCUAUGGUAGGAUGUACUUGAGAAGAUGAGAGGAGAUGAGAGAAGAUGAAGUUCAGUGUUGUCAUAAACGGAUUCGAAGAUUACCUGCCAAAUUGUCAGUACUUUUUUGAAAAAGGGAGGGUGUCAAUUACCAAUUACAUGUCUUGGCCAAGAAGGAUGUCAGUUCCCAGGGAUGUCUUGAGAACUUAAACUUUACUGGAUACCUACUCAAAAUUGAUUCUCUGUGUAUGUACCCUGUGUUCUGGAACUAGUUCGGUUAACCAGGCUGGCCUUAGACUUACAUAGAUCUACCUAACUCUGGCUCCCAAAUAUUGGAAUUAAAGGUGCGUAUCACCAUCACCAGGCUACAAUCAUUUUCUAGAUCUACACUUGUUAAUUUAGAGACUCAUAUUUAAUAGCUGUGCAUAGAGAGGAGAGAAAGCAUCCAGUGGAUAUUGGGUUAUAGAAAACUGAGCUCUUUUGUACUUCCUCUUGGGGAACAAUGGCUUCAUCAAGUCAGAAGCAGUAUGGAUAUUGAUGGCUUAUAUCUGAGAUCCUGUUUGAGAGCUUCUCUAGCUUGAAGGUAGCUGCCUCAUAUAAGAUUGUAAUUCUUCACUAUUGCAUAUGCCAGCAAGAUUUUGCUGAAAGGACCCUGAUAUAGCUGUCUCAUGUGAGGCUAUUCCAGUGCCUGGCAAAUACAGAAGUGGAUGCUCACAGUCAUCUAUUGGAUGGAACACAGGGCCCCCAAUGGAGGAGCUAGAGAAAGUACCCAAGGAGUUGAAGGGGUCUGCAACCCUAUAGGUGGAACAACAAUAUGAACUAACCAAUACCCCCAGAGCUCAUGUCUCUAGCUGCAUAUGUAGUAGAAGAUGGCCUAGUUGGCCAUCAUUGGGAAGAGAGGCCCCUUUGUCUUGCAAACUUUAUAUGCCCCAGUACAGGGGAACACCAGGGCCAAGUAGUGGGAAUGGGUGGGUAGGGGAACGGGGUGGGGAGAGGGUAUAGGAGACUUUUGAGAUAGCAUUUGAAAUGUAAACGAAGAAAAUAUUUAAUAAAAAAUUGAAAAAAAGAUUAUAUUGAAAAAAAAAAGAUUGCAGUUCUUCAGCAGAGGCAGUCCACAUCUAAUGAACAAUUCACACCUGAAUGUCCUAAUUUUUUGCUUGGACCACCUGAGUCCCUGGAGAAAGGUAUUCAACUCCUCUAUGAUUGAAGCUAGAAAGUAUUUUCCAGUGAAAUACCACAGCAACCUUUUGGCUUGACAUCUCUGCAACAGAAGCCAAUCUGCAUUGCUCACAAUGCUGAGCAAAUAGAGUCAGUUUCCUCCUGUUCAAUUAUUACAGGAAAACGGCAGGCAUUUUGAGGAAAACUGUCUGCAGUCUCUAGAAUUUGGCAUUACCUCUGACUCUUCAAUUAAAGGAAGAAAGACAGAACUGGAGGCCAAAAAAUGAAUUGGCUAAUUGAUAGUAUCUUAGGAGCAUGGGAAGGAGACAGGAAGAGCCUUCCAAGCAAUGGAGCUGGCUGUAGUAAGGCUCUGGAUUAUUGAUUUACACUGUUGGGAACUCAGAAGUUGAGAUGGAGGGAAAACACCUCAUAAGACCGGUACCCCCUUUAGGCGAGCAUUGUCUUCAGAGUGUCUGGAGACCCUGUUACUUUUUGUGUUACGCCUCACUUUCUCAUGUGAUUACAGCCUGUGGUAUAUUAUGACUUAAUACAGGCCACCAGAGACAUAUAGACUAAGACUUAAUGGACACAAUCUCUUUUACUAACCUUUUGUCCACUGACCCAUGUUAAGGGAUGCAACACUGCUCAGCAAGCCGGGGAGGAGAGAAGGGACAGAAUAGUGGUACAAGGCUGGGAUGAUUAACACUGGCUCAUUGUAGCUGUAUUGAUCUACUUUAUAAGUUGUGGGAGACUAUCUGUUCCCAGGAAGUGAUUUACAUUAUCACAUCACAUUGACAAAAUCAGUUAAGUCUCAGGAAUUCAAAACAAAAUGUCUCAGUUUUGGACAACUUAUUCUCUUUAACAUUUUUCUGUCAGUCAUUUGUCUUUAUUAAUAAAUUGGCUUUGUAAUGUAACUGAUAAUAAUCUGCAAAA